GAUGAAGAACGCAGCGAAAUGCGAUAAGUAGUGUGAAUUGCAGAAUUCAGUGAAUCAUCGAAUCUUUGAACGCACAUUGCGCCUUCUAGUAUUCUGGGAGGCAUGCCUGUUUGAGCGUCAUUAAACCUCUCUCAAGUAUGAUUACUUGGAUGUGAAGGAAGAGUACCUUAAACUUAAGGAGUGUUCUCCUUUGAAAUUGAUUAGCAGAUGGUAAUGUUAUUAAAUCCCUGAUGUUGUAAGAAAUAACAGUGGUUUUGUAGACUAUUAUCUAGCUUUAAAUUAUAAUUUUUAUUAUGGUUGACCUCAAAUCAGGUGAGGAUACCCGCUGAACUUAAGCAUACCAAUAAGCGGAGGA
rnacentral:misc_RNA from 1 species